UACGUAGGGGGCUAGCGUUGUCCGGAAUCAUUGGGCGUAAAGCGCGCGUAGGCGGCCAGAUAAGUCCGGUGUGAAAGUCAAAGGCUCAACCUUUGAAUGCCGCUGGAAACUGUCUGGCUUGAGUCCGGAAGGGGCGAGUGGAAUUCCUGGUGUAGCGGUGAAAUGCGUAGAUAUUGGGAGGAACACCUGCGGCGAAGGCGGCUACCUGGACAGAAACUGACGCUGAGGCGCGAAAGCUAGGGGAGCGAACGGG
rnacentral:rRNA from 1 species